ACGGGGUGCAGCAGGCGCGAAACCUCUACAAUGCACGAAAGUGUGAUAGGGGGAUUCCACGUGCAAGCUUUGCUUGCUUUUCUCAAGUCCAAAACGCUUGGGGAAUAAGGGCUGGGCAAGACCCGUGCCAGCCGCCGCGGUAACACGGGCAGCUCUAGUGGCGUUCGCGUAUAUUGGGCCUAAAGCGUGCGUAGCCGGCCGAUCAAGUUCUUUGUGAAAGCAUGCGACUUAAUCGUGUGAAUUGCAAGGAAAACUGCUUGGCUUGGGACCGGGAAGGGUUGGAGGUAUUCCUUGGGUAGGGGUAAAAUCCAGUGAUCCAUGGAGGACCAUCGAUGGCGAAGGCGUCCAACUGGAACGGGUCCGACGGUGAGGCACGAAAGCUAGGGGAGCGACCCGGAUUAGAUACCCGGUUAGUCCUAGCCGUAAAUGAUGCAGGUUUGGUAUUGCACUUCUUACGAGGAGGUGCAGUGCCGUAGGGAAGCCGUUAAACCUGCCGCCUGGAAGUACGCCGCAAGGC
rnacentral:rRNA from 1 species